GACAGAGGGGGCAAGCGUUGCUCGGAAUUACUGGGCGUAAAGGGCGCGUAGGCGGGAUGGCAAGUCGGUCGUGAAAUCCCUCGGCUCAACUGAGGAUCGUCGAUCGAUACUGCCGUUCUUGAGGAUUGCAGAGGAGACUGGAAUUCCCGGUGUAGCGGUGAAAUGUGUAGAGAUCGGGAGGAACACCGGUGGCGAAGGCGGGUCUCUGGGCAAUUCCUGACGCUGAGACGCGAAAGCUAGGGGAGCGAACGGG
rnacentral:rRNA from 1 species